rnacentral:rRNA from 1 species
UACAGAGACCUCAAGCGUUAUCCGGAAUCAUUGGGCGUAAAGCGUACCGAUAGGUGGUUAUACAAGUCAGAAGUGAAAUCUCCGAGCUCAACUCGGAAUCUGUCUUUUGAAACUGUAUGACUAGAGGGGCAAAGAGGAAGCUGGAACGAACGGUGUAGUAGUGAAAUGCGUAGAUAUCGUGAGGAACACCAGAGGCGAAGGCGGUUACCUGGACAGUUACUGACGCUCAGGCACGAAAGCAUGGGGAGCAAAAGGG